CUACUUACCUGGUAGAGGAGAUACCAUGAUCACGAAGGUGGUUUCCCAGGGCAAGGUUUACCCAUUGCUUUCCGGAUAUGCUGACCCCUGCAAUUUCCCCAAAUGUGGGAAACUUGACUGCUAAAAA
rnacentral:snRNA from 1 species